GCAUAUCAAUAAGCGGAGGAAAAGAAAAUAACAAUGAUUCCCCUAGUAACUGCGAGUGAAGAGGGACAAGCUCAAAUUUUAAAUCUGUCGGGUUCUACCUGACCGAGUUGUAAUUUGAAGAGGCGUUUUCUGUGUUUCUGAUCAGUCCAAGUCCUUUGGGAUAAGGCAUCACGGAGGGUGAGAAUCCCGUUCGGUUGAUCAGAUUCGCUUUAUGAUACGUCAUCAAAGAGUCAAGUUGUUUGGGAUUGCAGCUUAAAAUGGGAGGUAAAUUUCUCCUAAGGCUAAAUAACGGCGAGAGACCGAUAGCGAACAAGUACCGUGAGGGAAAGAUGAAAAGAACUUUGAAAAGAGAGUUAAAUAGUACGUGAAAUUGUUGAAAGGGAAACGAUUGAAGCCAGUCGUACCUGCGGGUAAUCAGCCUUUUGGGCAUGAUUCUGUGGAGCGUGAGGAGUUAAACGCCUUCAUGCCUGCAUAUUCGUAUACUUUGGGUGUACUUGCCUGUGUGGUUAGUUAACAUCAAUUUUGGUUAUCAUAAAAUGGCUGGAGGAAUGUAGCUUCGAUUUCGAUUGAAGUGUUAUAGCCUUCGGCAGAUGUGGUGAUUGAGACUGAGGAUUGCAACGAAUACCCUUUGGGCUAUCCGUCUGGCCUCUGAAAGUUGCUCAGGUGCCGAAAGCGUGCUUACGGUCAUCUAAGAUAACGUUCAACAGGUUAGAACGUGAUUACAUUCGUUAAGGAUGUUGACGUAA
rnacentral:rRNA from 1 species